rnacentral:tRNA from 1 species
GUCGGUAUAGCUCAGUGGUAGAGCACUUGCCUAGCAUGCAUAAGGCCUUGGGUUCUAUCCCCAGUACCGCA